UAGGCGAUGGAUAACAGGUUGAUAUUCCUGUACCACCUAUAAUCGUUUUAAUCGAUGGGGGGGACGCAGUAGGAUAGGCGAAGCGUGCGAUUGGAUUGCACGUCUAAGCAGUAAGGCUGAGUAUUAGGCAAAUCCGGUACUCGUUAAGGCUGAGCUGUGAUGGGGAGAAGACAUUGUGUCUUCGAGUCGUUGAUUUCACACUGCCGAGAAAAGCCUCUAGAUAGAAAAUAGGUGCCCGUACCGCAAACCGACACAGGUAGUCAAGAUGAGAAUUCUAAGGUGAGCGAGCGAACUCUCGUUAAGGAACUCGGCAAAAUGACCCCGUAACUUCGGGAGAAGGGGUGCUCUUUAGGGUUAACGCCCAGAAGAGCCGCAGUGAAUAGGCCCAAGCGACUGUUUAUCAAAAACACAGGUCUCUGCUAAACCGUAAGGUGAUGUAUAGGGGCUGACGCCUGCCCGGUGCUGGAAGGUUAAGAGGAGUGGUUAGCUUCUGCGAAGCUACGAAUCGAAGCCCCAGUAAACGGCGGCCGUAACUAUAACGGUCCUAAGGUAGCGAAAUUCCUUGUCGGGUAAGUUCCGACCCGCACGAAAGGCGUAACGAUUUGGGCACUGUCUCAACGAGAGACUCGGUGAAAUCAUAGUACCUGUGAAGAUGCAGGUUACCCGCGACAGGACGGAAAGACCCCGUGGAGCUUUACUGUAGCCUGAUAUUGAAAUUCGGCACAGCUUGUACAGGAUAGGUAGGAGCCUUUGAAACGUGAGCGCUAGCUUACGUGGAGGCGCUGGUGGGAUACUACCCUAGCUGUGUUGGCUUUCUAACCCGCACCACUUAUCGUGGUGGGAGACAGUGUCAGGCGGGCAGUUUGACUGGGGCGGUCGCCUCCUAAAAGGUAACGGAGGCGCUCAAAGGUUCCCUCAGAAUGGUUGGAAAUCAUUCAUAGAGUGUAAAGGCAUAAGGGAGCUUGACUGCGAGACCUACAAGUCGAGCAGGGUCGAAAGACGGACUUAGUGAUCCGGUGGUUCCGCAUGGAAGGGCCAUCGCUCAACGGAUAAAAGCUACCCCGGGGAUAACAGGCUUAUCUCCCCCAAGAGUUCACAUCGACGGGGAGGUUUGGCACCUCGAUGUCGGCUCAUCGCAUCCUGGGGCUGUAGUCGGUCCCAAGGGUUGGGCUGUUCGCCCAUUAAAGCGGUACGCGAGCUGGGUUCAGAACGUCGUGAGACAGUUCGGUCCCUAUCCGUCGUGGGCGUAGGAAAUUUGAGAGGAGCUGUCCUUAGUACGAGAGGACCGGGAUGGACAUACCUCUGGUGUACCAGUUGUCGUGCCAACGGCAUAGCUGGGUAGCUAUGUGUGGACGGGAUAAGUGCUGAAAGCAUCUAAGCAUGAAGCCCCCCUCAAGAUGAGAUUUCCCAACUUCGGUUAUAAGAUCCCUCAAAGAUGAUGAGGUUAAUAGGUUCGAGGUGGAAGCAUGGUGACAUGUGGAGCUGACGAAUACUAAUCGAUCGAAGACUUAAUCAA
rnacentral:rRNA from 1 species